UGGGGAAUUUUGGACAAUGGGGGAAACCCUGAUCCAGCCAUCCCGCGUGUGCGAUGAAGGCCUUCGGGUUGUAAAGCACUUUUGGCAGGAAAGAAACGUCGCGGGUUAAUACCCCGCGAAACUGACGGUACCUGCAGAAUAAGCACCGGCUAACUACGUGCCAGCAGCCGCGGUAAUACGUAGGGUGCAAGCGUUAAUCGGAAUUACUGGGCGUAAAGCGUGCGCAGGCGGUUCGGAAAGAAAGAUGUGAAAUCCCAGAGCUUAACUUUGGAACUGCAUUUUUAACUACCGGGCUAGAGUGUGUCAGAGGGAGGUGGAAUUCCGCGUGUAGCAGUGAAAUGCGUAGAUAUGCGGAGGAACACCGAUGGCGAAGGCAGCCUCCUGGGAUAACACUGACGCUCAUGCACGAAAGCGUGGGGAGCAAACAGGAUUAGAUACCCUGGUAGUCCACGCCCUAAACGAUGUCAACUAGCUGUUGGGGCCUUCGGGCCUUGGUAGCGCAGCUAACGCGUGAAGUUGACCGCCUGGGGAGUACGGUCGCAAGAUUAAAAACUC
rnacentral:rRNA from 1 species